GGGGUAUUAGUUCAGGUGGUAGAGUGCUCUCUUUGCCUGUGAGAGGUAGUGGGAUCGAUGCCCACAACCCUCA